rnacentral:rRNA from 1 species
AACGAACGCUGGCGGCAUGCCUAACACAUGCAAGUCGAACGAGACCUUCGGGUCUAGUGGCGCACGGGUGCGUAACGCGUGGGAACCUGCCCUUAGGUUCGGAAUAACUCCCCGAAAGGGGUGCUAAUACCGGAUAAUGUCUUCGGACCAAAGAUUUAUCGCCUUUGGAUGGGCCCGCGUUGGAUUAGCUAGUUGGUAGGGUAAAAGCCUACCACGGCGACGACCCAUAGCUGGUCUGAGAGGAUGAUCAGCCACACUGGGACUGAGACACGGCCCAGACUCCUACGGGAGGCAGCAGUGGGGAAUAUUGGAUAAUGGGCGGAAGCCUGAUCCAGCAAUGCCGCGUGAGUGAUGAAGGCCUUAGGGUUGUAAAGCUCUUUUACCCGGGAUGAUAAUGACAGUACCGGGAGAAUAAGCUCCGGCUAACUCCGUG